GACUAACGCUGGCGGCGUGCCUAAUACACGCAAGUCGAACGGGAUUCUUUGAUCAGCUUGCUGAGAGAAGGAUCUAGUGGCGGACGGGUGAGUAACGCGUGGGAAUCUGCCUCUUACUGGGGGAUAACAGUGGGAAACUACUGCUAAUACCGCAUAAGAUCUUCGGAUGAAAGGUGCAACUGCACCGGUAAGAGAUGAGCCCGCGUCCCAUUAGCUAGUUGGUGAGGUAAAGGCUCACCAAGGCGACGAUGGGUAGCCGGCCUGAGAGGGUGAACGGCCACACUGGGACUGAGACACGGCCCAGACUCCUACGGGAGGCAGCAGUAGGGAAUCUUCCGCAAUGGGCGCAAGCCUGACGGAGCGACGCCGCGUGAGUGAUGAAGGCCUUCGGUCGUAAAGCUCUGUUCUUGAGGACGAAUAAGCCAGGGAGGUGGAAAGGCCCUGGUGAUGACUGUACUCAAGGAGAAAGCUCCGGCUAACUACGUGCCAGC
rnacentral:rRNA from 1 species